AGAGAACUUUCCAGAGAUGGAUUGGUGGCCUUCGGGAACUCUGAGACAGGUGCUGCAUGGCUGUCGUCAGCUCGUGUUGUGAAAUGUUGGGUUAAGUCCCGCAACGAGCGCAACCCUUAUCCUUUGUUGCCAGCGGUUAGGCCGGGAACUCAAAGGAGACUGCCAGUGAUAAACUGGAGGAAGGUGGGGAUGACGUCAAGUCAUCAUGGCCCUUACGAGUAGGGCUACACACGUGCUACAAUGGCGCAUACAAAGAGAAGCGACCUCGCGAGAGCAAGCGGACCUCAUAAAGUGCGUCGUAGUCCGGAUUGGAGUCUGCAACUCGACUCCAUGAAGUCGGAAUCGCUAGUAAUCGUGGAUCAGAAUGCCACGGUGAAUACGUUCCCGGGCCUUGUACACACCACCCGUCACACCAUGGGAGUGGGUUGCAAAAGAAGUAGGUAGCUUAACCUUCGGGAGGGCGCUUACCACUUUGUGAUUCAUGACUGGGGUGAAGUCGUAACAAGGUAGGCGUAGUGCU
rnacentral:rRNA from 1 species